ACAAAUCAGAGGAAGUGCAGAUGGGAACGAUGAACUUUCGUUGCAGGCAUCAAACUUCCUGCAGAGCAAUUUAUUUUAAGACGCUGAACUUGUGAGCCAUACUUGCACCAAGUUGAGGUUUGAGGCAGUAGCCUUGUCUAACUGUUUUAUUUUCUUCCCUUUUCAUCUCCUUGUUUCUGUGUCAGAGUUAGGAACAGAGUUAGGCAACGGAGACAGACCAGCCAGCCAGGAGGCUGAGGAGGAAUCAGUGGUGUGGAAGUUAAGAUUGUCCCUAUUUUGCAAGAGCUGGAGUCCAUCGCUGCAGGUGAAUCAGAGGACGCCGUGGAGAGGCUGUGUAACACGUGUGACCGUCUCCAUGGCACCCUGGCCGAGCAAGGCAUGCUGGGCCAGCAUUGCAGGAGUAGGGCUGGGCUUCUCAAAGCGCUGUUCUGCCUCAUCGACCUCGACUCUGCCCAACUCAACCUGCAGCUCGCCAAACUCACCCUGGCUGUGAGUACAAUCAAUGUCAUCAUGAUGGUUCUCUUUCUCCCAUCUCUUCCCUGCCCUAAGACACAACAGUAGCUUUCUCAGACCAGACCUUAGUUAGCCUUGUUGGGAGACAUCAUUAGUACAAAGCAACAGCGUAAGGUUCCUGCUGUGUUAGUAGAUUGUCUGAUAACUUUGCGUUGUUCAGCUGAGCGUCAGUGGCAACGACCUGCUUAACAUCUGUAAACUCAUCUUCAAGAUCAGCCGCAGUGAGAGCAACGAGCUCCUCUUCCAGAACAACUCCAUCAUAGGUAACACAUUGACACACUGUACAAUAUGUGUGUACACUGAUUGUAUAAUGUUGCUUAUAUAUGUUUGAAUGUUUGUUUUUGUCUUUACCUUUGUAAGGAUCAGUGGCGGCUGGUGGAGGAGCUAUAGGAGGACGGGCUCAUUGUAAUGACUGAGGUUGAAGUGUCUUAACAAGUGUGUUAUGUGUGACUUUGUAUUACACCUAGAUUCCCUGCUGUGUGUGCUGAACUGUGAGGAUGUGUGUGUGUCUGGGGAGGCUGUAUUGUACUGUGUGGGCACUCUGAAGUUCUUCUCAGGGAACUCCGCCCUCCUCAGGCUCCCUUUGGCCAAGGACCGUGUGAGUGUGGCCACCCUGCUCAUUCAGAGGCUCCACCCACUGGCCCGACCAGACCACGCCCAGUUCACCAUCGCAGAACACAUCCUCGUAUACAUUGACAGCGACCCUGAGGAAUCUGGCUGACCUCCCAGAGUCCCGCCCCCUCUUCGUCUCCCACCGUGCCCUGACCAAACUGUGCUAGGCGCUGCACCAUCACCACGGAGACCAAGAUAUCUGUACCAACAUCGCCAGGUUAUUCAGUAAACUGUCCUCCUACUCUGGCCAAGACCCCUGGCUGUUACACACUAUUUAUAGAACUGAUGAGCAAACACCAGCGGAAACAGGACCUGGUGGUGCGUCUACUCUUCACUCUGGGUAACCUAACGUCUCGGAGCAGUGAGGCCAGAGAGCACCUCUUCACAGCUGAGGGGUGUGUGUCCGUGCUGCUUGGGCUCUACAACACCUACCAGGGGAGGGGGGUCCCUUACCGUACACACACCCCACACACCUCCAGCCAGGGACGCCCGUACACCCUGCACCGCUCCUGUGUGGGGGCGGGAGAAGGAGGACAUGCGGGUGAAGCUGGUUAGGGUGCUGGCUAACAUGUCCAUCCACCCUGCAGUGGGACCUACCCUGGCAGCUAGCACACACCUAGUACACAACCUGCUGGACACACUGGGCUGUCAGACAGUGAGGGACUUUGGACCAGUGGACUGGCAGCUGGCUUGGCAGCUGGCUGGCCUGGUGUGUCAGGCCCUGUGGAACCUCACUGAAGAGGGGGGGACGGGGACAGGGAUGGAGACAGACUCCCCCUCCACACUGGACAACCAGGAGAGAGGCACUGCUUGAGGUCCUUACACUGUACCUAGACGAGGAGGAAGCACUGCAGUGGACCUCUGGUGAUGACAUGAGGGACUUUCACCGAGCAUGCUGGGAGUUGGAGUUCCUGCCUGUGGCUCAGAGGCUGAGGGACAGGAUCCAGACUCAGACUGUCAGCCAUCUACUCAGUCUCCCUCCCUAAAGUGUGACAUCUUUGCAAUGUCCUCUCCUUUCUUCUUGUUGUGCCCUGCUAGCGUCCUGUAACACUGUCACCUCUCUAGAGUUACUCUCUAGAGACCAUCUCUUCUCCAGUGUCAGUCUGUACUCAAUGCACUUUACCUUCAGGUUCUACCACUCUCUCUAAUACUAUUACUAAGGCCCUGACUAGGGAAAACUUAGGUUUAGAGUGUUUUCCUAGUCAGGUCACAUAGUCAGGAAACACUCUUGGCCCUACCUAUGACAUACGGAUCUUUGAGCCUCUGACUUGUAUGACAAACUGUUUUCCCUUUAAAUAACCGAAAUGAUAGUUUUUAUGUUGUACCACACUGUAAAUGGUUAAUGUGAUUUUAUUAUCAUAAGCUACUCUUCUUAACAUCUGACCAUAAUUGUAAAUUGCCUCUCUGUGGUGAUAAAAUGUGAAGACAUUGUUAAUCUGUGAACUGCUGUACAUAAUAAACCACAACAAAACAGAAAGUGUGGUAAACGUUCUCUUUCUCAAAGCCUUUAUUGUUACACAGAUAUGGACCAGGCCAGGCAGUGCUGCUGCAAAGUUAGUCAAGAACAGUGUUUUUAUCAUUACAUCAAAUAAGAAAUACAAAAACGGCACCUCUGUAAAAAAAAAAAAAACGUAUCCUGCAA